rnacentral:rRNA from 1 species
GCAGAAGAUAGAGAGAAAAUGAAAGUUGUUCCUUAUGCUUCAGCCAUAGGCUCUAUCAUGUAUGCAAUGUUGUGUACCAGACCUGAUGUGUGUCUUGCUAUUAGUUUAGCAGGGAGGUACCAAAGUAAUCCAGGGGUGGAUCACUGGACAGCGGUCAAGAAUAUCCUGAAAUACCUAAAAAGGACUAAGGAUAUGUUUCUCGUUUAUGGAGGUGACAAAGAGCUCGUCGUAAAUGGUUACGUCGAUGCAAGCUUUGACACUGAUCCGGAUGACUCUAAGUCACAAACCAGAUACGUAUUUAUAUUGAACGGUGGAGCUGUCAGUUGGUGCAGUUCUAAGCAAAGCGUCAUGGCGGGAUCUACGUGUGAAGCGGAGUACAUAGCUGCUUCGGAA